rnacentral:rRNA from 1 species
GAUGAACGCUGGCGGCGUGCCUAAUACAUGCAAGUCGAGCGAACGGACGAGAAGCUUGCUUCUCUGAUGUUAGCGGCGGACGGGUGAGUAACACGUGGAUAACCUACCUAUAAGACUGGGAUAACUUCGGGAAACCGGAGCUAAUACCGGAUAAUAUUUUGAACCGCAUGGUUCAAAAGUGAAAGACGGUCUUGCUGUCACUUAUAGAUGGAUCCGCGCUGCAUUAGCUAGUUGGUAAGGUAACGGCUUACCAAGGCAACGAUGCAUAGCAGACCUGAGAGGGUGAUCGGCCACACUGGAACUGAGACACGGUCCAGACUCCUACGGGAGGCAGCAGUAGGGAAUCUUCCGCAAUGGGCGAAAGCCUGACGGAACAACGCCGCGUGAGUGAUGAAGGUCUUCGGAUCGUAAAACUCUGUUAUUAGGGAAGAACAUAUGUGUAAGUAACUGUGCACAUCUUGACGGUACCUAAUCAGAAAGCCACGGCUAACUACGUG